CGUAACAAGGUUUCCGUAGGUGAACCUGCGGAAGGAUCAUUCGCACGCAUCCAUUUGAUUCAUUGUGAAUAACAGUUGGUGAGGAUCUGGGUGGGGAUGGAGAUAGCAUCGAUGCCCCCAUGCGGAUACUCGAGGGCAGCAAGCCAGGCUCAGACCGUCUUCUGGGCUUGUCCUUGCUGCCAGUGUCUGUUUGAUAUUCUGUAUGUUCCAAUUUGUUCUGAGUGGUCUUCCACUCUUUAUCUUCUUACAACUUUCAGCGACGGAUGUCUCGGCUCGAACAACGAUGAAGGGCGCAGCGAAGUGUGAUAAGCAUUGUGAAUUGCAGAAUUCCGUGAACCAAUAGGGACUUGAACGUAUACUGCGCUUUCGGGAUAUCCCUGAAAGCAUGCCUGCUUCAGUGUCUAUUCUUAUUAUUCCAGCAUCUGACUUGUUCGGAAUGCUUGUGUGUGUUUGUGUGCCAGGGCGCCUCUACGGCCUCUGGCGCAUUCAGUGCACAGGGUCUUCCCGCGCAAACAACUAGAAGAGUAUCUCUGAUGCUAUCUGUUGUCUUGUUGUCGGGCUGGGCCUUGUUGUCUAGUGCAUAUCGCACUCAUACCAAGACAUGAAGUUAGUC
rnacentral:rRNA from 1 species